rnacentral:lncRNA from 1 species
CCUGCCUAGAACCUGGUUGUCUGGAAUCACUUCGAUCCACAAGCUGAAAAUAAGAACCUGGAGGCGUGAUGGUACAAGGUCGUCCCGUCACCCCGGAAACGGAGGCAGGAGGAUCAGAAAUUUCAGAAACAGAAUGCGAGGGUAUUGAAAGCAGCCCACCGUGCUUCCAGUCAAACCACAAAAAAUAGCUGCAACUUCCUGGUAGCUGUGUGUGUGUGUGUGUGUGUGUGUGUGUGAGAGAGAGAGAGAGAGAGAGAGAGAGAGAGAGAGAGAGAAGAGAUGUACUCCAGCCCCUCUAAAUGUUCUCAACCUUCAUCCAUGGAAAGGUUAGGGUCUCUCAAUGUUCCAAUAAAGCAGUCUCAGCCUGUUGAUUGAGUCUGUCUGCUUCUCUGUCUCAUUUUUCUUGCAAAAACAAUGAUAAAACACCACUGUCAAAUGAACAGAAUCACCAACAGUUUUCCCACAGACCCCUCUUAGGUUGGCAAGGUGGAGCCUGCCUAUCAUCAUCAGCU